GUGCCAGCCGCCGCGGUAAUACCGGCAGCUCGAGUGAUGGCCGAUUUUAUUGGGCCUAAAGCGUCCGUAGCCGGCCCUGCAAGUCCGUCGGGAAAUCCACCCGCCCAACGGGUGGGCGUCCGGUAGAAACUGGCCGGCUUGGAACCGGAAGGCUCAGAGAGUACGUCCGGGGUAGGAGUGAAAUCCCGUAAUCCCGGACGGACUACCGAUGGCGAAAGCACUCUGAGAAGACGGCUUCGACAGUGAGGGACGAAAGCUCGGGUCUCAAACCGGAUUAGAAACUCUGGUAGUCC
rnacentral:rRNA from 1 species